rnacentral:rRNA from 1 species
GUCUUUUUGUUUAUGAUUUAAAGUCUUGCCUGCCCAUUGAGUUUUAAAAGGCCGCGGUAUUUUGACCGUGCGAAGGUAGCAUAAUAAUUAGUUUUUUAAUUGAAAGCUGGAAUGAAUGGUUGAACGAGAAAAUAGCUGUCUCUAUAUUAAUUAAUUAGAAUUUUAUUUUUAAGUUAAAAAGCUUAAAUGGUUUUAAAAGACGAGAAGACCCUAUAGAGUUUUAUAAAGGUUUUUAUUAAAAAUUGGUAGAAUGGUUUAUUUUUAAUAAUUAAUUUUAUUUUGUUGGGGUGAUGAAAAAAUUUAUUUAACUUUUUUUAUAUAUUUACAUUAAUUUAUGAUUAAAUGAUCCAUUUUUUAUGAUUAUAAGAUUAAAUUACCUUAGGGAUAACAGCGUAAUUCUUUUUAAGAGUUCUAAUCGAAAAAGGAGAUUGCGACCUCGAUGUUGGAUUAAAAUAAAUAUUUGGUGUAGGAGCUAGAUAAUUAGGUCUGUUCGACCUUUAAAAUUUU